CUCCGUUCUCAAAAGACAGAAAAGAAAGGAAAGCGUGCCCAGCUGUUCCUCCCCGUAUGAAGCUUGGUCUGAAUUAUAUGUAGUGGAGUAUGAGAGCUCUGCUUUUAGCCUUCUAGACAAUGCUCUUCGUGAGUGACUGCUUCUGUUCCUUCUGGAAGUCCAGUACAGUUCUAUUGUGAUGAGUAGACCAAGCCUCUAAUGCACAAUAGGCGAAAUUUAGAUGGGCACAACUUUUGUACAGUAACACCGCUGAACUGAGUAUUUCUGGCAGAAUAAGUAAAGGAGUGUACAUAUGGGUUAUGUGAGCUCCAGUGUUUAGAGGAAAAAUGAUGAGAAGAAAGAAGAAAAGCAAGCUGCUUAUGGAAAUCAUUUUCCUGCUAUCCUGGGUCAUAAAUAAUUUGUGCCAAAACAUGAAGAACUAAAAGUAUUUCUUCAAUACAGGUUUGACUUUUCCAUUAUUGGACCAGGCUGCUAAGUUUGAACAACUGCUGAGUGCACAGGUUAUGUAUAUACAUAUACGUACGUAUACAAUGUGUAUAUGCAUAUAUACAAUAUGUAUAUAUAUGUGUAUGCAUAUAUAUACACUUAUAACUUAUUUAUAUGUAACCUGUAACAAUUAACUGCACCAUUCCCUGAGGUCUGAUAGAAUAUCUGUCAACUCAGCUACAGACACAAGUCUGAUCAGCCUUUAACAUUUUACAAAUGAAUGAAGAAACUGCACUCGUAUACAAAGAUUGAAUUCCCUUAUAAAACCCAAUGACACCACUGACUCUACGUGAACAUGUGUUUCUUUAUUUUAACCCAUAUUCAUUGUCUUUUAAAGACACUGCGAGUUUUGAUGGUGCCUUUGUGCCAUCGUUCUCUUCAUAAUGUGAAAAAUGCUUUCAUGUUUCUGAUAGGGAGAUGAUAAUUUGCAAUCUUGAAGAGAUUGUCACAUAAAGGAGACUGCGUGCGCUAAGCUGCAUGUGCUGCGCAGAUGAGGUAAUGUCUGUGGUGCACACCAGAUUAACCUGGUUGGAGCACAGAAUACCAUUUUAAUGGUGAAUUAAAAAGUGUGUGUGUGUGUGUGUGAGGUAUCGCUUUGGGCAGUGGGUGAGCUCCUGCUCAGAGCAGGUUAAACGUGAGAGAAAGGGGCUGUGCUGCAGAAGUGAACCGGAGAAUUAAUGCAUUGUCAGAGGGAGUUUGGAGAAAAGGAGGACUGUCCCGAGUUGACGUAUGGCUUAAUGAGGGGCGGGAGAAAUGGAGUGGAGGUGUAGAGGGGAAACAGAUAAAAAUAAUUCUAGUUUCCUCUUCCCAUCCAAAAGCCAGGUGUUACGUAUUUUCUUUGCCUCUGGAGUCUAAUAAAAGACCUGUGGGAGUCGAUGAAAAUGUUUUUGUCUCUGUUCUAUUUUUCCCCAGUAAUAGAAAUUUUGAGGGGAAAAAUGAAACACCGUGGUAGUCCUUAAGGCAUUUCUUUAGAUGAUGUAGAUUGGAAAUUAUUUCCUUACAGGACCAACGGUAUAAUCCCAGAUCAGAGUUCAGCUUUUAAGCCAGUUUUGAUCUAUUUUCACAAACUAAGACGUAAGAAAUUUAAUUGCCAGAUGGUUUGAGAGUCUACUUCCUAUUGCACGUGCUAAGCUGGCCUGGAACGUACCCUUUUGAGAAUAAUUGAGGUGCAAUCAGUGGAUAUACUACCUGCAGUGAUGUGCUUUGUGUACAGAGCGGGGGAAGAGCACGUUUCAUAGAUCACCUCUGAAGCUUCAGAAACAUGGCACAGUAUUGAGUAUCUAUAUCAUUUUUAGCAAAUGCUGAGACUUUGUAGCUUAAUGAUUGGGAGUAUUUACAUUUUCCAGAUGGGAGGAAUUUCGGUCUCUGUUGUGCAGAAAAACUUUCUGCUUUAAUUAUAUAUAUGUCUUUUAAACUGGAAUCAGAAGCCGCUUCACUGACGUGCUCCAUUUAUCAUAGGAGUCCACCUUCAGAAAUAGAUUUUUCAUAACUGCAGAAAUAGAAAGAGAAGCGGAGAGGUCAGUCCUUGUUAAUUAAAGGCAGCCAGUAACUGAUGUGGACAAUCAUAGAUCUGAGCAAAACCUCACUUGUCUGCUGAUGUAUCAUUACUGUGAUUAAUGACGCAGUACACUUACACUAACAGUCCGAAUGAGUAUAUUAACAUUAUAAAAGUCUUUAAAUGAAGGUUUAUAUUUGACUAUCAUUUUUGAUAGCCAAAUGGCUGUUAAAGAACCGUAUUUGCUGUCAGUAGUCUUAUGCCAAUCGAUGCCAGUCCUUUCCUCUAGGGAGACAGCUUGUAGACUCCAACCCAAGGGUCGUUCUUGACAUCAAGCUGCAAGUACCAUUGAGAAGUGAUUUGCAUUAACGUCCCUUCCUGCACAACCACCACAGAAGGGAGUGCCAGGAAGUAUGUAUGAUCCUCCCUGUAUCUCCCAGCCCGAUGCUGUCAGCAAGGCAGCUGCCAUCACGUGUUUCAUUUCAGCUGCUGACCCCAGGCUACCACUGCGCCUUUUGUGUGCGGGGGGUUUCCCAGGCACCAGCCUCCACAGCAGUGCUGUACAGGGUGUGUGUGAUGGGCCUGAGGCUGCUGGGAAGUGCUGGUGUUACUGUAAAUGUGCAGCCAGUUCAGCACACAGAAGGAUUGGGUGCAGCGUGUUUCCAUUCAGUCUCUGCUUUACAGUCAAACAUACUGAUGGAGAAAGGAAGCUUGAAAAGAAACGCGGAAGUUCCCUUUAUGGAGUUGAAGGUGUGUUCACUUCUCUGCAGGUGGUUCUUGUGUUUUUGUUUUUUGUUUUGUUUUUUUUUUUUCUUUCGCAGUUUUGAACACUACCCUACAAAUUGUAUGCAGAAGAAAUGCUUUCAUCUCACACUGUCCUCCACACCAGAGUGAUUUACCAGCGGAUUAUAUGGGGUUUCAGAAUCUUAUUAUAUGUGGAGAAAUACACAUCUUGCCUGAAGGACAUCUCGGAGAGAACUCUAGGAACAGCUGCCUGGCAGAUGACAGCAGGGGCUCAGGGUGGAUUCCUAGCGAACUGCUGAAGAAGGUUAGCAUGAAUUACGAGGCUGAAGCACAAACCUUAGCAGGAGGGUGGAAGGAAUGUCCCAGUGUUUGGAAUCAGCCUGCUUCAUUGCCAGUAGCUGCAGCAGCACCAGAGCUGGGUGCUGCCAGGUGGGCAGUGGGACUGCUGCCCUACAGCCACGUCUGUCUGCUGCCACUCCACUACUUUCCUGUUAGUGUUUCCCUGCAGAAUGACUGUGACUUCCAGGGACGCCUAUAGGAAUGUUUCUUUGGUGCACACACCAAAGGUACCUCUGAUUUUUUGUUUUCGUUUUGUUUUGUUUCAAGAUGAGUUGUGUUUGUCUGUUUGCAGCCCCUGCCCUGAAGCCACGCUCACAGGCUGUCAGCUUCUGGAGCUGAGAAUCUGACUCUACCACCAUAGAAAGCAGCACCCCAGCCUAGGUGAACUUUGAAACUUUGGCAUAUUUUCCUAAUUGAUAUGAAUAAGAUGAAAGGGAAAACUGACUCCUGUGACCUCCAUAGCAUAAUUGUGUACCGUGUGUUGCGUGAAUAAAGGGGUGUGCCAUAGCUGCACAAAUGUGAACUGACGCCAUCCUACUCUUAACAGCUUUGCUCUGUGUUGUCCAGCUGUCUGACAGGAAUGGACCAAAUGCUGUCAGUAUUCUUGUUAAUAAAUUUGCAGCUGCUCAGUGAUGGUGCUGCUCCUUUGGAGGGGCUUUGGGCAAUGAGCCCUGCUUGCUGCACAGCAACAUCAGGAAGAGCAUCUCCUCUCUGGAAGUCUUCCCAGCAUUAAUGAACCCAUUGGCUUCUAUAUCCUGAUGACCAUCAUUGCUUUCUUCGGGUCACAGGGGGAGAAAACACGUCAUCAGAAAAGAUACUCUCUUCCUACGCUGGAG